rnacentral:sRNA from 1 species
UGACAGAUUGGAUCUGACUUAACUGCUGUGCUGAGUUUGUUCAAUCCAACCCUGAGCUU